rnacentral:rRNA from 1 species
GUGCCGUUGUGGUUGUACACUCAACGGAGUCGAGUUGUUUGGGAAUGCAGCUCUAAAUGGGUGGUAAAUUCCAUCUAAAGCUAAAUAUUGGCGAGAGACCGAUAGCGAACAAGUACCGUGAGGGAAAGAUGAAAAGAACUUUGGAAAGAGAGUUAAACAGUACGUGAAAUUGUUGAAAGGGAAACGUUUGAAGUCAGUUGUGUUGGCUGGGGAUCAAGCCAGUCUUUUUGACUGGGUGUACUUCCUAGUUGACAGGCCAACAUCAGUUUUGACCGUCAGAGAAAGGCUUUGGGAAUGUGGCACCUUUACAAGGUGUGUUAUAGCCCUUGGUCGUAUGUGACGGUUGGGACUGAGGACAGCAGCGUGCCACUUUGGCAGGGUUUCGACCACGUUCACGCUUGGGAUGUUGGCAUAAUGGCUUUAAGCGACCCGUCUUGAAACACGGACCAAGGAGUCUAACAUGCAUGCAAGUGUUUGGGUGGAAAACCCAAGCGCGUAAUGAAAGUGAAAGUUGAGAUCCUCGUUAGUGGGGAGCAUCGAUGCCCGGACCAGAACUUUUGGGACGGAUCUGCGGUAGAGCAAGCAUGUUGGGACCCGAAAGAUGGUGAACUAUGCCUGAAUAGGGUGAAGCCAGAGGAAACUCUGGUGGAGGCUCGUAGCGAUUCUGACGUGCAAAUCGAUCGUCGAAUUUGGGUAUAGGGCGAAAGACUAAUCGACC